rfam:Cricetulus griseus cell line CHO-K1, whole genome shotgun sequence.
CUGCUUUGAGGAAACACAGAAUAAACACUUCAUGUUA